rnacentral:rRNA from 1 species
UGGGGAAUUUUGGACAAUGGGGGAAACCCUGAUCCAGCAAUGCCGCGUGAGUGAAGAAGGCCUUCGGGUUGUAAAGCUCUUUUGUCAGGGAAGAAACACCGGCUCUAACACAGUCCGGGAAUGACGGUACCUGAAGAAUAAGCACCGGCUAACUACGUGCCAGCAGCCGCGGUAAUACGUAGGGUGCGAGCGUUAAUCGGAAUUACUGGGCGUAAAGCGUGCGCAGGCGGUUAUACAAGACAGGCGUGA